CUCUCUCUCUGCUUUCUAGACCUUAUCCUUCCCUGCCCAGGAGAGGCCACUGUUCUCCAUGCUGUUCUUCCCCGGUCUCAGCCUCUCCACUUCCUGCAGGAGGCUGUGAGCUCUGAGAGGCUUUGCAUACUGAAUUCAGACAGAGUCUGUAUCUCUUUAAACCUUGAACUUCCUGAGGACUGGGGUGGCAUCUCCACUAGAAAAGGCCUCCCACUAAGCCCUCACUACAGGCAGCACUCAGCUCUCCUCUACUCCACCUCCCUCACCCCCAGUCAUAUCAGGUCCUUGGUAAACAUGUUAUCCACAUGGUCCCCCUCCACUCCAACUGGCCCCCUCACCAUCCAUCAAUCAUCUGUGGGUCACUACACACUUGCCUGCUUCUUCCUCUAUUUGGCAAAUCUCUUAUCUGCAUACAAACCACUUGAGCUUUGAAAUUAAAAAAAAAAGUCCCAGGUAAUUUUAAUGAGGAAACAAAUUCAAGAGCCAGUGCCCUUAUUUCUUUCUACGUUGGUGGAAUUAUGAGUUACCUGUCACCUUUUGCCAUUUCAAGUAACAUUAUAAUGAAUAGUAACUACUGUCAUUUCCCAUGCAUGCUGGUGUACUUAGAGGGUCAAUGCCCAGGUGAAAUUGCCGAAGUCAAAGUGUGUGUGUGUGUGUGUGUGUGUGUGUGUGUGUGUGUGUGUGUGUGUGUGUGUGUGUGUGUA